rnacentral:lncRNA from 1 species
AUGGAUAAAAUCAACAUGGUGAUAUUAUUGACCAUGCAAUUAACACAAGAUGGACACAGCAUGGAAGUAGAAGAAAGGAGGUUCCUGUUCAGUCUAGUUUGGAUGCUCAUGACCAUCAGUGGGCCAUUUCCCCUUCAUCAAAAUAUUUUUAAUGAGACUUCUGUCAAACUAAAUGAAACAGAAUUUGAGGAAAUUACAAGAUGUGAACUCAAGUGGAAGCAGAGCAAAAAAAAAAAGAUCUUGUUUGGCCAUAGCAGUACUCAAUAA